rnacentral:ncRNA from 1 species
AAGAUUACUCAUAAGGGCGUAUGGAGGAUGCCUUGACACUAAGAGGCGAUGAAGGUCGUGGCGUGACUGCGAUAAGCUUCGGGGAGCCGUCUAGCGGGCUUUGAUCCGGAGAUGACCGAAUGGGGGAACCCCGCCGUGCAAACCACGGCGAGCCGCGCGCAAGCGCGGUGGCGUACCCGGCGAAGUGAAACAUCUCAGUAGCCGGAGGAAGAGAAACCGCAGAGAUUCCGUAAGUAGCGGCGAGCGAAAGCGGAACAGCCUAAACCAUGUGCUUCGCACACAGAUAUUGAUAUAUCGAUAUUUGUGUGUGGAGUGCAUGGGGUAAUAGGGGAGAACAAGCUAAAGCAAUUUCUAAUUUCUAAUUUUUAAUUUCUAAUUAAUGUUGGAAGUUGGGAAUUGCAAAAGCAAAAGAGUUACAAAAUUGGAGAUUAGCAGAAUGGCCCUGGAACGGCCAACCAAAGAAGG